UAUGCAGAUGGACUGGAAGGGGCAG
rnacentral:piRNA from 1 species